rnacentral:rRNA from 1 species
CGUGAGUAACCUGCCCUGGAGUGGGGGAAUAACAGCUGGAAACAGCUGCUAAUACCGCAUAAUGCAGUUGGGCCGCAUGGCUCUGACUGCCAAAGAUUUAUCGCUCUGGGAUGGACUCGCGUCUGAUUAGCUAGUUGGUGGGGCAACGGCCCACCAAGGCGACGAUCAGUAGCCGGACUGAGAGGUUGGCCGGCCACAUUGGGACUGAGACACGGCCCAGACUCCUACGGAAGGCAGCAG